GCUCGGGGGGGAGUAUGGUCGCAAGGCUGAAACUUAAAGAAAUUGACGGAAGGGCACCACAAGGCGUGGAGCCUGCGGCUUAAUUUGACCCAACACGGGGAAACUCACCAGGUCCAGACAUGCUUAGGAUUGACAGAUUGAUAGCUCUUUCUUGAUUGUAUGGGUGGUGGUGCAUGGCCGUUUUUAGUUGGUGGAGUGAUUUGUCUGCUUAAUUGCGAUAACGAACGAGACCUUGACCUGCUAAAUAGCCCAACUCACUUUUGUGGGUUGCUGGCUUCUUAGAGGGACUUUUGGCUCAAGCCAAUGGAAGUACGAGGCAAAAACAGGUCUGUGAUGCCCUUAGAUGUCC
rnacentral:rRNA from 1 species